AUGGAGGUUCGACAAGGGUGCUUGGCCCUACUACCCGUGAACCCACCCAAGGAGAGACGUGGUUGUAGAGUCACGCACCUCUGCCGAGCCUCCUG
rfam:Physcomitrella patens subsp. patens PHYPAscaffold_4 genomic scaffold, whole genome shotgun sequence.